GAUGAAGAACGUAGCGAAAUGCGAUAAGUAAUGUGAAUUGCAGAAUUCAGUGAAUCAUCGAAUCUUUGAACGCACCUUGCGCUCCUUGGUAUUCCGAGGAGCAUGCCUGUUUGAGUGUCAUUAAAUUCUCAACCUUUAUCUUUUAUUGAUAAAUGGCUUGGACUUGGGGGUUUGCUGGCGAAAGUCAGCUCCUCUGAAAUGUAUUAGCUGGUUGCCUUGUGUGAACUUGUCUAUUGGUGUGAUAAUUAUCUACGCCGUGGGCUGUUUGCAGUUUUAGCACUGCUUCUAACUGUCUGUUAACUCGGACAAUAUAUGACAAUUUGACCUCAAAUCAGGUAGGACUACCCGCUGAACUUAAGCAUAUCAAUAAGCGGAGGA
rnacentral:misc_RNA from 1 species